GAUUGGACUUUUUUGUUUGGUGAAAAGAGUUGAUUGAAUUUUAAUUUUGAUGAGCUUUUUCAUUCCGCCAUUCUUGAGUUAAUUAAAUUUUUUCUUUUUAAUUGAGUAAUUUUCACCUUGUACUUUUCAUGUUAUUCUAGCGGUGAAAUGAUUCCUGAAAGAAAGACUUUCCUUUCUUGUGUCUCUUUCUGUCUAUGUGUUUUUGGUGUGGGAACCUUACAUUCAAGAAGCAAAAGAUGCAGAAGAUGGCAAACAUGUGUAUGGAUAAGGAGAUAAUAGCCAUCAAUAACUCCAACUGAUCAUCUUCUUUCUUGGUUUCUCACAUAAACACUGGACGAGGAAAGAAGAAAAUGAAACUUGAGAGGAGAAAAGAUGGCUUUACGUUGACAUACUCAUUAAAAGGCUAUCUAAUGUUUAUCAUAAUUCUUCAAUAAGAGUUGCUCAUUUUCACUCUUUUUGUUAUUAAGAUUGCAUUCAUGUUAAGGGAUGAAAGGAAAAUGAAAAGAAACAUGAUGAAAAUAGAAAUAGUUAUACUUUCUUUAAGAGAGAAAGAGAGAGAUACUCUUCACAGUCUCCAAUAUCAGAUCAAUUCAGUCUUUGCCCACCUCAUUCUGUUCUUUAAAAGGCAACAAACAGUCCAGAGGGCUUCUCACAGCAGGACCAAACUUCACCAAAAUUGAUCUGCUAUCAAGACAGACUUCUUAAUACCUGAGGCGAGAAAAAAAACGAAAGACAGGCACAAUGAAAUAAGAUGCUGAUCAAGGAAAAGACUUUCAUGAUCACUCUAAAGACCGGUCUUGAGGGUGAUAAAAAGUCUCCAACCGAGGAUGAAUGUUUCUACCUCACUAUCAUUUUGCUACUUUUUGCAUAGCAAACAUUUUUUGCAAAGUGAUAGCCUUUAAUACUUGAGAUGGAAGGAGAAAGGUAAAAUAGGAAUGAAACAAACUUCAAAUCAGAUUCUAACAAGACUGUGAAAAAAAAAUCAAUUGACAGAUUAAAGGACACCUUUGGUCGCCUUAGAGUAAACUCUUCACCACUUCACUUCUCAUCUUCCCUUGUCUCGUAACCUGUCACUUUGAUCAAUAUAUUUGUCACAUAAAGAAUCAUUGAAAUGAAAAAGGAAGUCGGAAAACAAAGAGGCGAAGCCAGUGCAAAAAAGAAACAAAAUCAAGGUCCACUUACUGUUAAUUACAUUCAAAUCAGUGAACAAAUUUAAAUCUUUUCCUCUUUUCGCUACAAUGAUCAUUGAGAUUAAUUUUUUUAGCCAUUACCUAUUACCAAUUACCAAUUACCACAAAUAAUCAUCUUUUUUUUGAGCUCAAAUGAUGCUGUCAGUCAAGCAAUUUCAACUGAAAGUCCACCAAACAAUCAACAAUCUCCAAACCUCAUCAACAUUAUAAUCAUCAUCACCAUCAUUCUUAUCAUUAUUUCAAUAUUUCAUUUUGCACGAUUUGGGCAAAACAAAAACAGUUUGAAAAAAAGAUAAAAAUGAAAAUGAGAAAGUUGGCAAACUUGAGAUGAAAAAGUUCUUAUUAGAUGAAACCUUGAACCUUUUUCUUACUUUUACCUUUGUAAAUUGAACUCAUUUUUGUUUUCCAAAGAUAAAUCAAUUCGUCUUGCAGUUUGAAAACCUGGAAAGAAAAGGUAAAGGUAAAUAGUAAAGAGAACAAGAACAAGAACAAGAAAAUAAAGUAAAAAUAGGCAAAGAAGAAAUCAAGGGAAAGAAGUUUAUAACAAGAAGUGAAAAGAAGGCCAACAAAAUGAGGCCAAUAAUUAGACCAAGUCCACAGUUUUCCGUAACGGGUUGAUCAUCAUUAUCCUUUACAAAAACAUCAUCAUCAGCAAGUUGCUCAGUUUGAGUUAUUCCAAUCAAGAUGAAAAUUUUACUAGGAAAAAAAGCUCACCGCCACCCAACUGUGAAAUGUAAAAGAAGAUGGAAAAGCAAAGGUUCUAAUGGGAAAAAAUGUGGAGACAAAAUUAGUUCAUUGGUACAAGAAGAGGAGUGAAGUGAACAAGAUAAGAGACCUUUGGAAGAUGAAGGAGGAAGAAAAAUGGCAUUUUUUUGUGUGUGUCUUAUUGUUCAACGAACUGUGAAGUUUUGGUUUCAUCGUUUUGAUUACAAGACCAAUGAGACAUGUUAUUUGUCAGGAUGAAAUUUUAAUAAAGAACCGGAUCAGCGUUAUGUUAAUCAUCUUGAUAGAUUCACUGUCUAACCAUCAACUUAAUCAUCAUCUUAACCGUCAACAUUACCUUCAUACCUUGCUGUCAUUAGAAACAACGAAAAGUCCUGGAAUGGUUUGCCUUUUUUUACCCUCUUUUUAUGGUUAAUAUCUGGUGAUUACUGGUGGUUAGUCAAUAAUAAUUGUAAACUAAGUAUGCAUAAGUAGGAACAGGUAAAUCACAUUCACGGACUCGUCAGAAUAUUUAAUGUGCCUUUAACUUCACUCAAACAUCAGAAAGCCGUCAAAAUUUCAACCUAAUCCAAGAUAAAUAAAUGAAAGGUUUUCACAAGAAUGGCCAGUUUUAAAAUAAUUAUCACAAAGAAAAGGCAAAAGAUGAUGAUGAUGAUUAUUUAAGAUGGUCAAAAGAGAAGAGACAAGUUACCUGGAAUAAUAAGGAGCUUUGGAAUGUAUUGUUUGCAAUGAAGGAAACCAAAUGGAGUCACGGAAAUUCAGUAAAUGAUACUCAAAUCAGAUUCACAUGACCCUAGAUUAACAUUGAAACACUCAAAAAGGAUACCUCAAUAUAUAUAUUGCUCAAGAAGUAAUAAGAUGUUCAACAAUAAAUGAUGAUGAUAAUAAUAAUGAAAUGAAGGAUACAAGUUGUGAUGGGAAGAAGAGGAAAAGUCAAGCCAGGAAGAAGAGUAAAAACAAGAUGAACAAGUCGAGAGUAAAAAAAAGGACUCAACAAGAUUUUUACAUUUAACUCAGCACUUUGCUAGUUGAUAAUAAUGCGAUUUUGACCGAGAAAGUGAAAAGUUGUAAAUGAAAUGAUAUUUAAUAUGGAAACAUCAUCAUCAACAUCAUUAGAUAAUCAGCAUAAUAACCAAACAUGAACCAUGUGUAUUCGGCACAACAAGACGAGUUGAAAAGAAGAAGAAGAAGAUGAAGCAAAUUUUUGGACCCAACCUACAAUUUAUUUUGCUGUGUUCAUUACACUUGAGGAGAAGAAGGAAGACUUUGAUAUUUCUUGGAGAGAAAAGCCUCAGAAAUCAAACUCCAUGGUGAAAAUGGAGCAAAGCAGAUGAUAAAGAUGAGGAAUGAGAGAAAAAAGAAAUUGGAGAAAAAAGGAAGUUUAUUCACUGAAAUUUCUAAUGCUGAACACAUAUUUGUGACAAUACAGAGUUUUCCAACCGAAUUCACCAGUUUUUCCAUUUGAAAAAGUCGGUUUUUAAUCCGGAUUAAGAAAGGGUUUGAAGCAGUCUAGUUAAUCUUACAGUUUCCAUUGCUUUUAACCUUUUUUCCGAAAGAAAAAAUCUGUGUAUGUCAAUUUUCAAUGACAAUUUUCCGAAUACAAAGUGACUUGUAUUUAAUCAUGUUUUUUGUGGUAAUAAUUACCUCUUAUAAUUAAAGCUUGAGCAUCGGAUAAAA